rnacentral:lncRNA from 1 species
GAAAUAGGAACAGAAAAAAGAAACAAAAAAAAGUUGUUUCUUUUGAAAAGAAACACUUCUUCGACGGAACAAAAGAACAAAAACCAAAGAAACAAAAGAACAAAAUCGGAACAAAGGCGACGAACUCUUCUCCUUCGUGCGUGCUCGUCGCUCCUCUCGUCGGCUGAAGCUUCGUUCUUCCUUUUCCGGCGUCUCUCCCAUCUCUCCGGCGGCUCCCACUCGGCUGACUCUCCGGCGACUCCUCACUCCGGCGACUCCAGGUACGUUUCCGGUGCUCCUCCUUCUCCGGUAAGCGUUGCUCCCCCUUCGGCGCUCCUCCUCCGGUCAGCGUUGCUCCCCCUUCGGCGCUCCUUCUCCGGUCAGCGUUGCUCCCCCUUCGCUCGAGCAGCAGCUCCAGUGAUGCGGCGGUGCAGCUCGGAGACGGACCGAGGCGGCGGCGCGGGAUCGAGGGAGGGAAGUGGGAGCGGCGGGAGUGAUGCGGCGGAAGGCGGAAACUUGGGCGCCGAAAAGCCGGCGCGGUCCGGUGUGGAAGAGGAGGAGGUGCUCCUAAGCGGCGACGGCGGUGAUGCCGGCGUCGCGUUGAGGAGCGAAGAGGAAUCGGAGAGUAAAUUGAGGGCGAGGGGUGGGCGACAGGUGAUGAGGCGAUCGAGCAUGGUGGCGAAGCAAGUGAUCAGCAUCGAAUCUGCUCUUGGCUUGGGGUUCGUCUCUCAGCUCUGGGUGGAUACCCUCUCGGUAAGUGAUGGAAUUCUUCAUCUUGGUUCGUGUAGCAAAACCUCGCGUGCCUGCAGAAGAUUGUCCAUUGAAAAAUUUAGGUGGGUUGUGCUGUAACAGGUGACUUUGAACAGUAACGAAGGCUUAAAAGUGUUGUCCUUAUAACAACUCCUGGAGUUUACUAGUAUUCGUCUUGGUUCUUGUAGUUUUCUGUUGUCUGUUGUGGGAAGCAAAAGUCGAAGUUAUCUCUAGAAGUGUCGACGCUUUCUGGGUAAGGUUCCGUCCGACCACCCCAUCUGUCUCGAUCGCGCUCGACACUUGGCCGUCCUUCUUCGUUUGGUUCUCUCGUCGUUGCUGCGUGCUGUUUCCGUUUUAGUUUGAUUCCCUGGUCAAUUUGGUCGCCGCGCUGCGGGCUCUUGUUGUGAACUUGAUCGUGCUUGCGCGCGUUGACUUCAGCGGGUCUUGAGUUGGGGUUGGAGUGUUGGAGUGGGGGGCGUGGCGGUUCUGGUUCUGCAUGUCAUCCGGUCAGUCGAACCUCUUUCGGCCGUGUUGAAAAAAUUUGAUACAAAACAUUUUCUACGAAAUAUGCUAUAUGAUCAUGCUAAAAAUGUUUGUCUUCACUAACCAUGAACAAAAUAAAAUUAAUGAGCAUUUCAUAAGAAUUAGAAUUCAAUAUCAAUUUUAAACUUUAUUAAAAAAAAAUUAAAAAUUAAAAAUUAAAAAUAAAACAGAAAUUUUUUUGUCGUUUACCAAACGUGUUUCUGUUCUUUUUCUAUUCUAGGAACAGAAAUUGACUGCAGUUACCAAACAUGUUUCUGUUCUUUUUUUAUUCCAAGAACAGUUUUUUUUUACACUUAC